AACGAACGCUGGCGGCAUGCCUAACACAUGCAAGUCGAACGAGACCUUCGGGUCUAGUGGCGCACGGGUGCGUAACGCGUGGGAACCUGCCCUUAGGUUCGGAAUAACUCCCCGACAGGGGUGCUAAUACCGGAUAAUGUCUUCGGACCAAAGAUUUAUCGCCUUUGUAUGGGCCCGCGUUGGAUUAGCUUGUUGGUAGGGUAAAAGCCUACCAAGGCGACGAUCCAUAGCUGGUCUGAGAGGAUGAUCAGCCACACUGGGACUGAGACACGGCCCAGACUCCUACGGGAGGCAGCAGUGGGGAAUAUUGGACAAUGGGCGAAGGCCUGAUCCAGCAAGGCCGCGUGAGUGAUGAAGGCCUUAGGGUUGUAAAGCUCGUUUACCCGGGAUGAUAAUGACAGUACCGAGAGAAUAAGCUCCGGCUAACUCCGUG
rnacentral:rRNA from 1 species